rnacentral:rRNA from 1 species
UCAGGACGAACGCUGGCGGCGUGCCUAACACAUGCAAGUCGAGCGGUUCGGUGUCCGACACUGAGUAUUCACUUUAGUGGGUAUUGAGUGUUGGACACCGGAUAGCGGCGGACGGGUGAGUAACACGUGGGCAACCUGCCCUAAGGAGCGGGAUAACACCAGGAAACUGGUGCUAAUACCGCAUAAAGUAUCUUCGGCACAUGCCGAAGCUAUUAAAGAUUUAUCGCCUUAGGAUGGGCCCGCGUCCCAUUAGCCAGUUGGUGAGGUAACGGCCCACCAAAGCUACGAUGGGUAGCCGACCUGAGAGGGUGAUCGGCCACAUUGGAACUGAGACACGGUCCAGACUCCUACGGGAGGCAGCAGUGGGGAAUAUUGCACAAUGGGGGAAACCCUGAUGCAGCAAACCGCCGCGUGAGCGAUGAAGGCCUUCGGGUUGUAAAGCUCUGUCUUCGCUGACGAUAAUGACGGUAAGCGAGGAGGAAGCCACGGCUAACUACGUGCCAGCAGCGGC